AGAGAGGAAAAGAGAGAGGAAGGUGGACGAGGAAAAACAGCACGGCCCGGUAAGUGGACCGCCCAGAUGAAAACCGGAAUCACUCGAAGCCGACGAUCAACGGAAUGCUAGACCACAUGGCUAUAAGGAAAACGAAAGAGAGAGAGAGAGAGAAAGAGAGAACGAGAGGGAGAGAGAGAGAGAGAGAGAGAGAGAGAGAAGGCAAAUCAGGGGCUUGUUUGUUGUAUAUCUGUUCGCCGACGGUGUAAUUAGUAGAGCGCGGCUUCGAGCAGCACCGAGCGCGCUACAAGUGUAUCUAGUACUGAACCUAGAAGUGCCACAUGGCUGCGAUCGUGGCCUCGUCGUCGUCCAACUGUAGCGUGUUCGAUAACGGUUAUCAGCGUCGUAACAAUCGCCCUGUAUCGGGCCAACAUGGCCGGGCCGGGCAUCAUCACCAGCAUCAUCACUAUCGC